rnacentral:snoRNA from 1 species
GCUGCCCCCUUUGCUGCUGCUGCUGCUGCUCCUGCUGCAGCAGCUGCAGCAGGAGGAGACAGGGAGGAGACACGGUGUAGGGCCUCUUCAGCCUUUUGAAGUGUCUCCUUCCACUGCUGCGCU